rnacentral:pre_miRNA from 1 species
UUUCAUUUCACAUUUUCAUUUUCACCAAACAACAUAGACCAAAUAAAAAAUUAAUUCUAUUAUGUAAGAAAUGUAAAAUACCAAGAUUUUAUCAUUCUAUAAAAGUUCAAGUAGCACAUAAAUACAUUUUUGAAAUAAAAAGCAAAGAAGAAACUUAACAAGAGAACAAAUAUGUCAUUUUAUAAAAGUUUCCAUUGAGUUUCUAUUAGUAUUGGUCUAGGUGACAUAGAUUUUAAUUAGUGUUUUUAUUAUGUUGCGGUUUGGUUUGGUAUGGUUCGGUUGGUAAAAUGAAAGCCGCAAACCAAACCAAACCAUGCGGUUGAGUAAAAAUGUGAACCGAAUA